rnacentral:rRNA from 1 species
UAGGGAAUCUUCCGCAAUGGACGAAAGUCUGACGGAGCAACGCCGCGUGAGUGAAGAAGGAUUUCGGUUCGUAAAACUCUGUUGUUAGGGAAGAAAAAAUGUAUAGUAACUAUAUACAAAAGAGACGGUACCUAACCAGAAAGCCACGGCUAACUACGUGCCAGCAGCCGCGGUAAUACGUAGGUGGCAAGCGUUGUCCGGAAUUAUUGGGCGUAAAGCGCGCGCAGGUGGUUUAGAAAGUCUGAUGUGAAAGACCACGGCUCAACCGUGGAGGGUCAUUGGAAACUAAUAAACUUGAGUGCAGGAGAGAAAAGUGGAAUUCCUAGUGUAGCGAUGAAAUGCGUAGAGAUUAGGGGGAACACCGGUGGCGAAAGCGGCUUUUUGGCCUGCAACUGACACUGAGGCGCGAAAGCGUGGGGAGCAAACAGG